UACGGAGGAUGCAAGCGUUAUCCGGAAUUAUUGGGCGUAAAGCGUCCGCAGGUGGUUUAUCAAGUCUGCUGUCAAAGCGCGAGGCUUAACUUCGUAAAGGCAGUGGAAACUGAUAGACUGGAGUGCGGUAGGGGCAGAGGGAAUUCCCAGUGUAGCGGUGAAAUGCGUAGAUAUUGGGAAGAACACCAGCGGCGAAAGCGCGCUACUGGGCCAUUACUGACACUCAUGGACGAAAGCUAGGGGAGCGAAAGGG
rnacentral:rRNA from 1 species